UACGGGGGGGGCAAGCGUUGUUCGGAAUUACUGGGCGUAAAGGGCUCGUAGGUGGCCAACUAAGUCAGACGUGAAAUCCCUCGGCUUAACCGGGGAACUGCGUCUGAUACUGGAUGGCUUGAGUUUGGGAGAGGGAUGCGGAAUUCCAGGUGUAGCGGUGAAAUGCGUAGAUAUCUGGAGGGAACACCGGUGGCGAAGGCAGCGUCGCUGGGACGGACUGACGCGUGAGGCGCGAAGCGUGGGGACGCAAACAG
rnacentral:rRNA from 1 species